rnacentral:rRNA from 1 species
GAUGAACGCUGGCGGCGUGGAUAAGGCAUGCAAGUCGAAUGGGUUUAGACCCAUGGCGAACGGGGUAGUAACAGGUAGGAACGUACCAUAGAGUCGUGAAUAAUCUAUUGAAAGAUAGGCUAAUACACGAUACGCCUUCGGGUGAAAGAUUUAUCGCUCUAUGAUCGGCCUGCUUCGUAUCAGCUAGUUGGUAGUGUAAUGGACUACCAAGGCAAUGACGCGUAGGGGAGCUGAGAGGCUGACCCCCACCAAUGGCACUGAGACACUGGCCAU